GACUGGCUCAUUUCAAUGCAUGUGCAAUGAAGGAUUUUAUAGCAGUGGACAAAAUUGCAGUUUUACGACAGCUUGUGUUGAGUGUCAUAAAAAUGCAUCAUGCAUAGCAAACAAGACUGGUGCCUUUCAAUGCAAGUGCAACGAAGGCUUCUCCGGCAAUGGAAAAAAUUGUACAUAUGACACAGAUUUAAUCCAAUCUGAAGUAAAUUGCUCUAAUAUCACGACGGGAAAGUCAUUAUGCCAUGCAAAUGCUA